AGGCUUGUAGCUCAGGUGGUUAGAGCGCACCGUGAUAAGGGUGAGGUCGGUGGUUCAAGUCCACUCAGGCCUACCA
rnacentral:tRNA from 1 species